CUAGCGUUUCCUCAAAGCUUCCAUACAUUGUAAGCAAUCCGGCAACCGACCCCCCAGGAACAUAUUCCAAAAAAAUGUUCAAGUGGUCCGAAUUUAAGUUAGAACCGAGAUAUUGGACAAUAUGCUCAUGAGACAACUCCUGUAGAAGAGCAAUUUCACCCGCUAAUGCAUCUAAAAGUUUGGCAUGGCGGUCUUUUGAUUCAGAAACAGAAUCUAAGAUCACUUGCUUAACAGCCAUCAACUCACCACUAGAUGCAUUCAUACCGAGAUAAACUUGUCCAAACGAUCCUGAACCUAUUAACGCACCACGUAUCCAUUUGAUAGACUGAUCAUCAGUGUCCUCUUCAAGUGUAUUUGUGUCCUCACUUGUAGUGGAAGUUGGAGAAAUUGGGGAUGGUUGCUCAAUAAAUGAUGGGGAUGAACCAGGUGAAAAGGAAAGUACUUGAUGGUUGCCAUGCGCGCUUUCUGAAAAAACAUUAUACUUCGACGAUUUUUCAUUUCCGUUGGACUGGUAUAAAGGUUCCACACCAACCAUGGUUAUGGAUUUUUGAAGCGAUGGUGGUCUAGAAAUACGCUGAGUAGAAGAUACAGUAAGUGGAGGAUCAAAUCCCCUAUCAAUCCUAGGAAGUCGGUUAACAUCUUCAGCAACAGAAAUCCUCAGAGAGGAAAGAGGACAAACCAAUUCGGAAGGGCGAGCCCGCCGAGAGCUUCUUGGCAAAAUUUCUUGACCAAAAUUACCAAGAUUGUGCCCUUGAGACGUACGUAUGCUAAGGUUUCUACGAAGAGAGUUUGAUAUUGUUUUUUCCAGUAGCUUUGGUUGAUGAUCGGGGAAAAAAUCGGAAAUUCUAGAAUUAAUAAGCUCGCUAGGAGGUCGCUGGUAGGAUUCAAAUGGUUUCGCAUUAUUUGAGCGGACACUUCGUUUCUGAGUGCUCGUGGGAAGAACAGAGGAAAGUUUAGGAGAAAGGGAGGACUGUGAUGAUAAUGCUGCCGGUUGAGCCAAUUCAAUCUCCCAAGAACGGCGGAGGUCUUCAAACGAUGGACAAGGCUUUUCUUUUGGCACAAUAAUUAACCUGUCGCGUUCCGGUGAAGAUGAAUUAAAACAAAUUUGUUUAAAUUCUUCUUCAGUAAUCAGCUUAAUUCGACUACUCUGUGAAACGCAUACAAUGAAUUUUGAAGCAUCUUCAAGGCUAAACUUUUUCAAAGCAAUAGCGAGUGUUUUCUGGUAAUCUCCUCGUGAUUGAACUGCUCGAGUUUGCCCGUUACAGGCAAUAAACCUCAGUAUACAUGGACGUGGAAACUCUCGUAAAUAGUCUCUUUGUUUUAAAAAUUGUUUGCCUUUGGCGGUGUUUUCAAUGCCUAGGUCUUUCAGUAAAGGCAAGGUUAAAUGAUUUAGGUGUCGUCCUUCAAUGUUAUUUUGUGAAAAUUGUUCGAUAUACUUCUCCAAUCCGAUACUUUUCAACCAUUCUGCUACCUCCUUCGAGGUAUAAUAUUCCAUAAAUGCAGGAAAGUGGUUGUACAACGUAUAACUUCUAAGUUCAAAGUUGGUAGCAUUUACGUUUAACCUGCCUCCCUUAGUCUCGUGCUCUUUGACGUAACAAUAUAACUAUACACUUUAUAACCGAUAUUAGUUUCACUAAAUCUCAUUACCAAAAUGAAGCUGCCAAAAAAUUCGUAAAGGCUGCUUGUUUAUAUAGGUAUUGCAAUUCUCACCCGGCACAGAUUCAGAUAUCUAUUAAAUAACACUUACGUACAUA